UAGCCACCCACCUGCAGCCAAUUUAUUUUCAGCCGUUUCCUAAUAAUCUUUAAGACGGACUUUGUCAAGUAAUAAUAAUUCCUUCCCGUUCGAUCCAAAGCAAUGUUUGUUAUACAGUCACCUACGGAUAUGCUAUGAACAGUUGUCCAACACAUACGAAAAAGUAUAUACAGACAGUCGGUGAUGGUGCAGAACGGUGGAACCAACCUGAUGUAUUAAUUGACAAUAGAUUUAGGACAAAAGAAUGGAUUUCUUCACGUUAGGAAUAAUGAACUUGUGAAUUCUCAGCAACGCACUACAUUAAUUGUCAUUAAUUCAUGGAAAUAGCUCUUUCAAGUAGUGAUUAGCCAUGAAGAUAAACAACUCCUGAAAAACACAUAGCUGGGAAUGACUUCCAACUUCAUUUCCUGUUUGCGAGCCUCUCAGACUGUUGGAAACCGGAUACUGGACUAAGGAUAUAAUCUUAUCAGUUGCACCCCUGGUGACAGGAAGUCUCCAAACUUGGAGGAAUCUAUCUGUGCUGCCACUACUCUGUUCCAGAUUGUCUCCCAGUGCUCCAGAGCUGAUUGCUGGGGGAAGAAGGGAACAGAAAGAAUCACCUCUCAUCUGGCAUUAGGGAUCUCUGCAUGUUGUAAAGCUGCAUCCAGUUUAAUAUCCUGCCAAAUAUGCUUCCCUUGAUAGGCCUUGUGGUACUUUCUUUUAUUAAAAAUUAUGUGAUCAUU